AUAAGUUGUUAGUUUGUUUCCUUAGUUUAGGAAGUUUAUUACUAGAUACUAACUUGUACAUAUGUUAGUAUAAAUACCUAAGCUUGUAUUAUUCUCAUAAAUAACACAAUUAAUAAAAUGUAGUCUUUAGUUUUUCUCUCAAAGCUCACGAGCUUCCAAGGCUCAACAAUGGCUUCUUGCUUUCUUCUUCCUUUCUUCUUCCUAUUUCCUCAAUUCUAACAUGGUAUCAGAGCGGGAACGAUCCCGGCUCUUCAAUUCCGCAUAAUAUUUUUGUUCAAAUCAACUCAUCAAUUUCUUUUUCCCCAAAAAUUUUCUGCUCCGAAAUUUUGCUCGAAUUGGGUCUUAAUUCGACAAAUUAGGGCUUUAAUUCGCCCUAAUAUCUUCUAAAAUCGCUCACAAAUCUUCUUUAGAACCUUGAAUCAAACAAUUUUAUGAUUCUUGAGUUUUCCCCAAAUUUUAGGGUUCUAGAAUCUUACUACUGGAAUUAAUCGCAAGCGUUUCGUCAAUUAUUCCUCGCCGGCGAUAACCAGAGGAAGAUGAAUAGUUACUGCCGCCUCCACUGCCACCCGUAACACCAUUUUUUCACAAUCAAAGGCGCGAAAUCAUCAUCAAGAUCUUCGCUGCCAUUGAGGAAACUCUUGGAGAAUUCAAGGAAGCUGAUUCAUGGUGGUUAGUUCAACCAAAUUAUUCUGAUUGGUAGUUCCAUUUGUAUGAAGUAUUCUGGUGGUGUUCUCAUCAGUCAAGUUGUUGGUCAUGGUCAGGAAACAACCAUGGAUUCACAUAACAGUUUUCAGAUGCUAAGUGUUGAAGAAACACAAAGGUGCAGUGUUCAAAACUUCAGAUACCUCCCGUUGACAGUAUUCCAGAUGUUGUGGCUGCAGUUCUCAUCGCCAAGAGGAGCAACCGAGAAACAACUGCUUCAUUUCAUGAUUUCAAACUGAAAAUGUUUAACACCAUUUUCAGUUUGAGGGGGGGUGUUGGAACUUAUACUGUAGUAUAAGUUGUUAGUUUGUUUCCUUAGUUUAGGAAGUUUAUUACUAGAUACUAACUUGUACAUAUGUUAGUAUAAAUACCUAAGCUUGUAUUAUUCUCAUAAAUAACACAAUUAAUAAAAUGUAGUCUUUAGUUUUUCUCUCAAA